UUAAGCUGAGGACUCUAAAGAGACUGCCGGUGCAAACCGCGAGGAAGGUGGGGAUGACGUCAAAUCAUCACGGCCCUUACGUCCUGGGCUACACACGUGCUACAAUGGUAAUGACAGAGGGCAGCUACUAGGCGACUAGAUGCGAAUCUUUAAACAUUAUCACAGUUCGGAUUGGAGUCUGCAACUCGACUCCAUGAAGCUGGAAUCGCUAGUAAUCGGAUAUCAGCCAUGAUCCGGUGAAUACGUUCCCGGGCCUUGUACACACCGCCCGUCAAGCCAUGGAAGCUGGGGGUGCCUGAAGUCGGUCACCGCAAGGAGCCGCCUAGGGUAAAACUGGUAACUAGGGCUAAGUCGUAACAAGGUAGCCGUACCGGAAGGUGCGGCUGGAACACCUCCUUU
rnacentral:rRNA from 1 species